rnacentral:rRNA from 1 species
UAGGGAAUCUUCCACAAUGGACGCAAGUCUGAUGGAGCAACGCCGCGUGAGUGAAGAAGGUUUUCGGACCGUAAAGCUCUGUUGUUGGUGAAGAAGGAUAGAGGUAGUAACUGGCCCUUUAUUUGACGGUAAUCAACCAGAAAGUCACGGCUAACUACGUGCCAGCAGCCGCGGUAAUACGUAGGUGGCAAGCGUUGUCCGGAUUUAUUGGGCGUAAAGCGAGCGCAGGCGGAAGAAUAAGUCUGAUGUGAAAGCCCUCGGCUUAACCGAGGAAUUGCAUCGGAAACUGUUUUCUUGAGUGCAGGAGAGGAGAGUAGAACUCCAUGUGUAGCGGUGGAAUGCGUAGAUAUAUGGAAGAAUACCAGUGGCGAAGGCGGCUCUCUGGUCUGCAACUGACGCUGAGGCUCGAAAGCAUGGGUAGCGAACAGGAUUAGAUACCCUGGUAGUCCAUGCCGUAAACGAUGAGUGCUAAGUGUUGGGAGGCUUCCGCCUCUCAGUGCUGCAGCUAACGCAUUAAGCACUCCGCCUGGGGGAGUACGACCGCAAGGUUGAAAC